AUGAACGCUGGCGGCGUGCCUCAUACCUGCCAGUCGAGCGAACAGACGAGGAGCUUGCUCCUCUGAUGUUAGCGGCGGACGGGUGAGUAACACGUGGAUAACCUACCUAUAAGACUGGGAUAACUUCGGGAAACCGGAGCUAAUACCGGAUAACAUGUUGAACCGCAUGGUUCAACAGUGAAAGACGGUCUUGCUGUCACUUAUAGAUGGAUCCGCGCCGCAUUAGCUAGUUGGUAAGGUAACGGCUUACCAAGGCAACGAUGCGUAGCCGACCUGAGAGGGUGAUCGGCCACACUGGAACUGAGACACGGUCCAGACUCCUACGGGAGGCAGCAGUAGGGAAUCUUCCGCAAUGGGCGAAAGCCUGACGGAGCAACGCCGCGUGAGUGAAGAAGGUCUUCGGAUCGUAAAACUCUGUUAUUAGGGAAGAACAAAUGUGUAAGUAACUAUGCACGUCUUGACGGUACCUAAUCAGAAAGCCACGGCUAACUACGUG
rnacentral:rRNA from 1 species